rnacentral:lncRNA from 1 species
GCGGUACCACCGCAGUACGGGGGGAAGGAUGGGAGAGGAGUGAACGGCCGUGCUGCCCUGAGCCGCCCAAAGCAGUCGUGAAAUGAAGCAAAACCACCGGAAACCCCCGAAUAAAUUCUUCACAAAAUGGCUCUUCUGUUUAUUUCUGUAGCUGUGUCCAUCAGCCACCUCUUGGCAGGGAGUCUUGGGGGGGGGGGGAGGGUGACCCCAAAUCGGUGCCUCACUUCUUCCAAAAUUUCUUGUAUUUCUCCAAGUCCAGCUCCUCCAAGGCCUCCUCCUGCUUGGCCCGCAGCUUGCUGGGGAACUGCCGCCGCAGCCGGGCCUUGCGCUCCGCCUCGGGCAGCGUGCUGCUGUCCACGGGCAGCAUGAGGAUCCUUUUGGGCUCCUUGUAGCGGAUGUGGAUGGUGGAGCCGUCGGUGCGGACCAGCAGCAGCGGGUAGAGGCGGCCGUACACCUGGCGGCGGAGGUGGGUGACGGAGGUGCGGUUGGAGUUGCGGUGGCCGCAGGCGGUGUGCAGGCAGCGGGGCUGCAGGGCGCUCAGCACUCUCCACACAGCCGCCAUUGUGCUCUGCGCAAGGGGAUGCAGUGCUGCCUCUUGCGGGCAACCCCUCACACCGCCUUC